CAGGAAAAGAACUGGACAAAAUUGAGUGGGAAUUCUGUCCUGAAUGUGGCCCGGGCCUCGUGUUUGCAGAUUUCACGAAUGGCUGCUGGAUGCGGCUCAAUUCUAGUGACCGAUUUCAUCAGCAGUUAGAGAAAACUGGUGAGACCAACCUUCAGAUCAAGGACCUGGAGUAGCAGGACAGCGGAAACUACACAGCUCACGCGAGGUUUCAAAACAGAGAGGUGCAACCACAAUCCUUUGUCCUGCAGGCCACAGUGGACGGGAAGUGAGACGGAGCGGAGGUGUUCAGGGUCCUGCAGAGGAAACUGCUGUGGUUGAGGCCGUGGUCUUGGGGGGCGAAAUAUCAACCUGAAGACUGUGCCAGAAGAGACAGGCUUUGCAGAACCACAGCCCACCUCACGGGCGAGGGCAGAAAGAGCAGGGAUGGAGAUCCGUGGCUUUUGGUGGGUGAUGCUGCUGCUGCUGCUGCUGGACCACCAGUCCUCAGAGACUGCAAAUAUUCCCACCCGGAAU